rnacentral:rRNA from 1 species
UACGUAGGGUGCGAGCGUUAAUCGGAAUUACUGGGCGUAAAGCGUGCGCAGGCGGUUAUUUAAGUCAGGUGUGAAAGCCCUGGGCUUAACCUAGGAAUUGCGCUUGAGACGUGGAUAGCUUGGAGUGCGGCAGAGGGAGGUGGAAUUCCACGUGUAGCAGUGAAAUGCGUAGAGAUCGGGAGGAACAUCAGUGGCGAAGGCGGCCAUCUGGAUCAACACUGACGCUGAGGCACGGAAAGCGAUGGGGGA